rnacentral:lncRNA from 1 species
AUGGUAACGGGGGCGUGGCCUGCGCUGAGCGGGGCGGUUGCCAGGGCAACGGGGGGCGUGGUCUGCGUUCAGCGGGACGGUUGCCAAGGCAACAGGGGGCGUGGUCUGCGCGGGGAGCUGGGUUGCCAGGGCAACGUGGGCGUGGUUACGAAGCGCGCGACUUCCGGUUCCGCCGGAGGGCGGGACUUCCGCUUUGAGCCCGCCGCCUUCCGGGGCGGUUUCCAGGCGCUGCCGGGGCCUUGCGGGGCCGCCGCCGCCGCCGAGCGCCCGGGGCCCGGUCCCGGAGGCCGAGGCCGAGGCGAUGCCGCUGCCCGUGGCCCUGCAGUCCCGGCUGGCCAAGCGGGGGCUGCUCAAGCACGUGGAGCCCGAGCCGGAGGAGGAGAUCAUCGCCGAGGACUACGACGACGCCCACGUGGACUACGAGGCCUCGCGGCUCGAGGGGCUGCUCCCCCCCUGGUACAAGGUCAUCGACCCCACCUGGUGAGAGCCCCGCCCCCAAGGGCGCUAUAGGGGCCGUCCCGGGCGCUAUAUGGGCAAUGAGGACCUGUCCCGGGCGUUAUAGGGGCCAUAAGGACCCGUCCUGGGCGCUAUAGGGGCUGUAAGGACCUGUCCUGGGUGCUAUAGGGGCCGUCCCGGGCGCUAUAGGGGCCAUAAGGACCCAUCCUGGGCACUAUAUGGGCCAUAAGGACCCAUCCCAGGCGCUAUAUGGGCAACGAGGACCUGUCCUGGGCACUAUAGGGGCCGUAAGGACCUGUCCUGGGUGCUAUAGGGGCCAUCCCAGGCACUACAGGGGCCAUAAGGACCCGUCUCAGGCGCUAUAGGGGCUGUUCCGGGUGCUAUAGGGGCCCUAAGGACCUGUCCCGGGCGCUAUAGGGGCCCUAAGGACCUGUCCCAGGCGCUAUUAGGGCCCUAAGGAUCUAUAGGGGCCACAGGACCCUUCCCAGUGCCCAUAAGGCCCCCUCUCAGGCCCUAUAGGAGCCAUAGGGACCCUUCCCAGGCCCUAUAG